GCUGGGUGUGGUGGCACACGCCUGUAAUCCUAGCUACUUGGGAGGCUGAGGCUGGAGAAUUGCUUGAACCCAGGAGGUGGAGGUUGCAGUGAGCCGAGAUCGUGCCACUGCACUCCAGCCUGGGUGACAAAGUGAGACUCUGUCUCAA
rnacentral:sRNA from 1 species